rnacentral:rRNA from 1 species
UACGGGGGGGGGCAAGCGGUUGUUCGGAAUUACUGGGCGUAAAGGGCUGGUAGGCGGCCAACUAAGUCGGAUGUGAAAUCCCCAGGCUUAACCUGGGAACUGCAUCCGAUACUGGUCGGCUUGAAUCCGGGAGAGGGAUGCAGAAUUCCAGGUGUAGCGGUGAAAUGCGUAGAUAUCUGGAGGAAUACCGGUGGCGAAGGCGGCAUCCUGGACCGGCAUUGACGCUGAACAGCGAAAGCUAGGGGAGCAAACGGG